UACAGAGGGUGCAAGCGUUAAUCGGAAUUACUGGGCGUAAAGCGUGCGUAGACGGUUAUGUAAGUCAGAUGUGAAAGCCCCGGGCUCAACCUGGGAAUUGCAUUUGAGACUGCAUAGCUAGGGUGCGGAAGAGGGAAGCGGAAUUUCCGGUGUAGCGGUGAAAUGCGUAGAUAUCGGAAGGAACACCAGUGGCGAAAGCGGCUCCUGGUCCAGCACCGACGUUCAGGCACGAAAGCGUGGGGAGCAAACGGG
rnacentral:rRNA from 1 species